GAUAAACGACUGGCGGCGUGCAUGAGACAUGCAAGUCGAACGGACGAUCGAGGCUUGCUUCGAUCGUUAGUGGCGGACGGCUGAGUAACGCGUAGGUGACCUGCCCCGAACGUGGGGAAUAACUGCCCGAAAGGGUGGCUAAUACCGCAUGUGGUGGUGUGUUCAAUCACACCAGUAAAGCCGCAAGGCGCUUCGGGAGGGGCCGUGCGUCCGAUUAGCUCGUUGGUGGGGUAACGGCUCACCAAGGCGACGAUCGGUAGGUGGUCUGAGAGGACGAUCACCCAGACUGGGACUGAGACACGGCCCAGACUCCUACGGGAGGGCAGCAGUCGGGAAUUUUGCGCAAUGGACGAAAGUCUGACGCAGCAACGCCGCGUGAGGGAUGACGGCCU
rnacentral:rRNA from 1 species